UUGUUUUAAAUGUUACAAUAUGAGAGGAGAGAGAGAGCAAAGUUCUCUCAAAGCUUCCCCGUCGGGGAAGAAAGAAAUAAAAACGCCACCGGCGUUAGCCAUGGCGGUUCACGGCGGUAACCGCAAUGGCGCACGACGACCGGGGUAAACUCAAACACCAAAAUAUUCCUCUCUUCACUCUCAACCUAGAUCCUCAACUAGAUCGGCCUAAAAAUAACCUUAACUCACUAGAUCUGAUAUUUUACCUUUCGAAUCAACAAAUAUCCGGUGACGAUUUGAACUUCCCGAUGGUCCUCCGAUCAAGGUGCUCGAUGAAGGAUUAAUUCAAGUGAUGAAUCGUGGAAGCUUGCAAUUG